rnacentral:rRNA from 1 species
UACCCCUUUUGAAAGCGUUAUCCGGAAUUAUUGGGCGUAAAGCGUUUGUAGGCGGGCGAGUGUGUUUAAUGUUAAAUCUUAAAGCUCAACUUUGAAAUUGCGUUAAAAACUGCUUGUCUUGAGUAUGGUAGGGGUAAAGGGAAUUCCCAGUGUAACGGUGAAAUGCGUAGAUAUUGGGAAGAACACUAAACAGCGAAGGCUCUUUACUAUGCUAAUACUGACGCUGAGAAACGAAAGGUAAGGCAGCGAAACGGAUUAGAUACCCGUGUAGUCUUACCCGUAAACUAUGGACACUAAACGGUAAAUUUUUAAUUUACUGUUAAAGCUAACGCGUUAAGUGUCCCGCCUGGGGAGUAUGCCUGCAAAAGAGAAACUCAAAGGAAUUGACGGGGGCCCGCACAAGCGGUGGAGCAUGUGGUUUAAUUCGACGGUACACGAAGAACCUUACCAGGAUUUGACAUGUUAGAUAGUUGCUUGAAAGAGUAACGUGCCGUAAGGAAUCUAGACACAGGUGGUGCAUGGCAGUCGUCAGUUCGUGUUGUGAAAUGUUGGGUUAAGUCCCGCAACGAACGCAACCCUUGUCUUUAGUUAUUUUCUAAAGAGACUGCCUGUAAUAAACAGGAGGAAGGUAAGGAUGAGGUCAAGUCAUCAUGCCCCUUAUGUCCUGGGCUACACACGUGCUACAAUGGGAAAGACAAUGAGCUGCAAAUCUGUAAAUUUAAGCAAAUCUUUUAAACUUUCUCGUAGUUCGGAUUGUGGGCUGCAACUCGCCCACAUGAAGUUGGAAUCGCUAGUUAUCGGCGGUCAGCUAUAUGGCGGUGAAUCCGUUCCCGGGCCU